rnacentral:rRNA from 1 species
CUUAACACAUGCAAGUCGAACGAAUUUAGGGGGCAACCUCUAAGUUAGUGGCAAACGGGUGAGUAAUGCAGAGGAAUCUACCUAGCAGUGCGGAAUAACUUUGGGGAACCAAUGCUAAUACCGUAUAUUACCGAUUCGUCGGGAAAGUUUUUCGCUGUUAGAUGAGCCUCUGUCGGAUUAGCUAGUUGGUAGGGUAAUGGCCUACCAAGGCGAUGAUCCGUAGCUGGUUUGAGAGGAUGAUCAGCCACAUUGGGACUGAGACACGGCCCAAACUCC